AUAAAAGCAAGGUGAGGGGGAAGGCUCUGGCUGUUCUGCCUAUUGUAGGUCGGAGCCUCCCGGCUGCCCGCAAGGUCCUUUGUACUAUUUCUCCUCUACAUGGCUUGUGAAAACCAUUGUUUAGAGUCCUCCAAGCAGAGAAAGCCCGAGUCUUCUCUCACAGAGCCUGGAUCAGCAGAAGAAGGUUUCAAAUCUCCACUAUGUUCUGUGCUCACAGAUGUGAGAUCAUCAUAUUCAUAAAUACCCUCACCCUUUUCAGUCAUCUGUCUGCUGCCUAAUAUGGAAAAAUUGCAAGGGAGAAGGCUGGGUAGUAUUGUGGUUGAACUCCUCCUAACUUAAAACCUAGAUGCCCAUGAGAGCAUUUAGAUCUCAAGACUGGCUUCGGCUGUGCAAAGAGUGAUCUAGACACUGUGUUUUCCUGCCACCCUGUUUGAACCACAUCAAUUACUUUCCUCACAGAGUGUGCAGAGGUAAUGGGAAGAGAAGAAACCAUCAGCUGAGCUGGGGUGCUGAAAGUCUGGCAACAGUGGUUACAUCUUCCUAACAAGUAAACAGGAAGAAAAACCAUGGGAUCCUGCUCCUGGCCACCUUACCGUCAUAAUGAGCUUCUCCACGCAGUCAGGUGCCACACUGUGGAGAUGUUUUUGGUCGCUUUGAAGAGAGCUGAGACUCCGAACUACCUGGGAAGGAGAUGCGUUUGGAGGCAGCAGGAGAAUCCGUCAGCUCCUUCUCUGCUUGGCUGGAUGAGGCUAGAAGAAAAAGUAGAAGAUGCAAUACAGUAGUAACCAGACCAGGCCAGCUCCCAGAGCAUUUGUUUUGGGUGAAAAUCAACAUUCAUUUCUAGCACAGGAUUUUCUU